rnacentral:rRNA from 1 species
AGUGAACGCUGGCGGUAGGCCUAACACAUGCAAGUCGAACGGCAGCACAGUAAGAGCUUGCUCUUACGGGUGGCGAGUGGCGGACGGGUGAGGAAUACAUCGGAAUCUACUUUUUCGUGGGGGAUAACGUAGGGAAACUUACGCUAAUACCGCAUACGACCUACGGGUGAAAGUAGGGGAUCUUCGGACCUUGCGCGAUUGAAUGAGCCGAUGUCGGAUUAGCUAGUUGGCGGGGUAAAGGCCCACCAAGGCGACGAUCCGCAGCUGGUCUGAGAGGAUGAUCAGCCACACUGGAACUGAGACACGGUCCAGACUCCUACGGGAGGCAGCAGUGGGGAAUAUUGGACAAUGGGCGCAAGCCUGAUCCAGCCAUACCGCGUGGGUGAAGAAGGCCUUCGGGUUGUAAAGCCCUUUUGUUGGGAAAGAAAAGCAGCAGGUUAAUACCCCGCUGUUCUGACGGUACCCAAAGAAUAAGCACCGGCUAACUUCGUG